UCUGGGGGCGUCAGCGAGGUUGUGUCCCUGCUCGGUGUUCGGAGUUGGGGAAUUUUGGCAGCGUGACAAAAACUGGGACCGGGGGACUCCGUCACCGGAGCUGCGGGGAGGGGACCCGCCGGUUCUCGCCGAGCCGAGCCGAGCCGUGCCGUGCCGUGCCGUGCUGCCCCGUGCGGGGUUCUCCCGCGGUCCGGGCCCACCCCGACCUUCUCGGUGCUGCCUAUGACUGCGGGACACCGUGUUGCUCCGCAGUGCCCGGGGUCAGCAGGAGCCUUCUCGGGCGGAGCGACCCCGUAUGGCGCUUGGCAUCCCGCCUCGGGAGCUCUGAAGCCACAAACGGGAUCGGGAUCAUUUUCAGAUGUUUGUGCAGGCACUGCCUCGUGUCCCCAAGCCCCGGCAUUUACCUUUUAGAAGUGCAACUCCAGCCAUCAGCAGUUUGUACUGAUAGUAAUUCUUGGCUGAUCUCAGCACAUGUCAUUGCAGGGUUUGGCAAGAGUGAGUUGAGCCCUCCAUUGGUUUUGAAGAAGAGCAUACUCUCCACAAACCCAAACCAAAGCAAGUCCUGUAAGCUGAACCCUUCCAUGUGAUAGCAAACAAGACAUAUAACUAAGGGCAGAAUGAAGAGCUUUCCACAAGUCAGUGAUUUUUCCAUACCCAAGGGAGGCAACCAUCUCCAGUGGAC